rnacentral:rRNA from 1 species
GACAGAGGGUGCAAACGUUGUUCGGAAUUACUGGGCGUAAAGCGUGUGUGGGCGGCUUUGCAAGUCGGAUGUGAAAGCCCCGGGCUCAACCCGGGAAGUGCACUCGAUACUGCAGAGCUUGAGUGUCGGAGAGGUUGGUGGAAUUCUCGGUGUAGAGGUGAAAUUCGUAGAUAUCGAGAGGAACACCGGCGGCGAAGGCGGCCAACUGGACGACUACUGACGCUGAGACACGAAAGCGUGGGGAGCGAACAGG